GUGGGGAAUAUUGCACAAUGGGGGAAACCCUGAUGCAGCGACGCCGCGUGAGUGAAGAAGUAUUUCGGUACGUAAAGCUCUAUCAGCAGGGAAGAAAAUGACGGUACCUGAUUAAGAAGCCCCGGCUAACUACGUGCCAGCAGCCGCGGUAAUACGUAGGGGGCAAGCGUUAUCCGGAUUUACUGGGUGUAAAGGGAGCGUAGACGGCACUGCAAGUCCGGAGUGAAAGCCCAUGGCUCAACCGUGGGACUGCUCUGGAAACUGUGGAGCUUGAGUGCGGGAGGGGCAGGCGGAAUUCCUGGUGUAGCGGUGAAAUGCGUAGAUAUCAGGAGGAACACCGGCGGCGAAGGCGGCCUGCUGGACCGUAACUGACGUUGAGGCUCGAAAGCGUGGGGAGCAAACAGGA
rnacentral:rRNA from 1 species